rnacentral:rRNA from 1 species
UACAGAGGGUGCAAGCGUUGUUCGGAAUUAUUGGGCGUAAAGCGCGUGUAGGCGGCUUGGCAAGUCGGGUGUGAAAGCCCUCAGCUCAACUGAGGAAGUGCGCCCGAAACUGCUGAGCUUGAGUGCCGGAGAGGGUGGCGGAAUUCCCCAAGUAGAGGUGAAAUUCGUAGAUAUGGGGAGGAACACCGGUGGCGAAGGCGGCCACCUGGACGGUGACUGACGCUGAGACGCGAAAGCGUGGGGAGCAAACAGG